CCACCUCUGGCACAUGGAGGAAAAUAUUCGGUGGCGGGACUCGGCUCAUCGUCACAGAUAAAGCACCCAAGCCUCCGAACAUGUAUCUUUUCGGGCCCAAGUCCGAGGACCUGGAAAGCAAGGAUAAAUUCUUUGUGGCCUGUCUGAUGACCAACUUCUUCCCUGAAGUGAUCAAUGUCGAAUGGAAAAUCGAUGGCGUUGUAGAGACGCAAAAAAAACAGCUGACAGACUCCGUGAAGAAGACAAAGGAAGGUGCCUACUCGCUGAUCAGUCGCCUGGAAGUCUCCAAGGUGGAGUGGGACGGUCAGAAGAUUUCUUGCGUGGCGAAGCACGAGACACCGGAGAAAGAAAUAUCAUUUGACUCAUCCAAAGCCGUUGUGACCACAACCGUUGCCCCAAAAGUUUCCGUCUGUCCAUCCAGCGAACAGGAACCACAAAAGAGCGCGGAUGAAGGAACACCUUUCAGUUCAUUGCGGGUCGCGACCUUGACAUACACCAUUCUGUUGAUGAAGAGUGUGUUGUACUGCUGUAUCAUCUCGUUGAUCGUUUACAAGGUGGAGUACCGGGGCACGAAGAAGUCACUGUAACUCGUAUUAAGAACAAUGUAUAUUUUGAUAUAUGUAUUCCAUUUCAGUGUAAGCUUUCAGUCUGUUUCCUUCCUGGUAUGCUGAGAUAUUGUACAUCCUGUUGCAAAUCACGUGUCGCCUUGUGAGAGGAGAAAGGACGAGAGCUGAGGCAAGUUUCCGAAUGACUACAGUGCUAUAUAGCUAGAAAUAGCAGCAUGUUUUGGUAAUCAAGUACCUGUUGCACACUUGUGGGGGAACCGUUAGUUGUUAUACAAGUGACUUUUGUUGUUGAACCGUUUGCUGCUAUUAGUUUGCUGGCUUUUAUAUUUUUCAAGUUAUUUUACGUUUAUCAUUCUGUAAAUCGGACAAUAAACGAGUCAGUAAGA